GAGCAGAUGUCACUGCUUCCCAAGCAGUAGGCGGCGGGUUCGAGUCCCGUAUCCUGCUCCA
rnacentral:tRNA from 1 species